CUUGUCCAUAUUUUGGCUGACCAUUUCCCUCUUGGCUCUCGUGUCUUCGGAACUCUGUGGAAGCUUGCCGUUAUUACUGCCACCGUUGCAAUUUGUGCAUGUCUUAUUUACCUCUGGAGAGUUGUCCUUGCUUUAAUGUACAGCAAAAAACUGCAAAGAGCAACACGUUGGAGAAAGAAAACACAGAGCUGGCUGAAGCAAUAUCCAUGUGGGAACAGAAGAUACAUCUUCAAGAAGCUAAGAGAGAAAGUAACAUUCACUCUGCUGAAGCUCUUAAGUUGAAAUCAGAAGAUGCAAACGGUCAGUUGGAGGAACUGAGACCCUGGAGGUCCAAUAAACGUGCACUGGAAGCAUGGAAAAAGGCCGCGGAAGACCUUCAUAAUGAUUUGAGGUCUAUUAAAGCAAUCAGGGAAGAAACAGCCAAAAGGCUGAAGGAUACAGGAGACAUCCUUCAUAAAUUCUAUGAAGAAAGAAAAAUGGCUACAGCAAAGAAUCUGGAUAUGACAAACUGUGAACUAGUGGCAAUGAAGAAUCAGAUGGCAACUGCAGAGGAAAAUCUGAAAAUAGCUACAAGGGACAUACACAAGUGCAACAUUGACCUGCCCAUGUAGAAACUUCAUCCAUGCCAACGUUCCUGAGGGGUGGUGUCAGUUGUCAUAAUCUAGAGGAAAGCAGUGUGUCAUAGGAUGAAAUCCUAUCCAUCAACAAGGUAGUACCAUCUGAUGGUCCUGGUCUUUGCAACCCUAGGAAACCUG
rnacentral:lncRNA from 1 species